CCUACGGGCGGCAGCAGUGGGGAAUAUUGGACAAUGGGGGGAACCCUGAUCCAGCCAUGCCGCGUGUGUGAAGAAGGCCCUCGGGUUGUAAAGCACUUUCAGUGAGGAAGAACGCCUGGUGGUUAAUACCCAUCAGGAAAGACAUCACUCACAGAAGAAGCACCGGCUAACUCCGUGCCAGCAGCCGCGGUAAUACGGAGGGUGCGAGCGUUAAUCGGAAUUACUGGGCGUAAAGCGCGCGUAGGUGGCUUGAUAAGCCGGUUGUGAAAGCCCCGGGCUCAACCUGGGAACGGCAUCCGGAACUGUCAAGCUAGAGUGCAGGAGAGGAAGGUAGAAUUCCCGGUGUAGCGGUGAAAUGCGUAGAGAUCGGGAGGAAUACCAGUGGCGAAGGCGGCCUUCUGGACUGACACUGACACUGAGGUGCGAAAGCGUGGGUAGUAAACAGGAUUAGAUACCCUAGUAGUC
rnacentral:rRNA from 1 species